ACUUGUCUGCAUCCGCCUACUUGAAACCGAACUAUUUUUUUUUGGUUUGUUUGGCCGGUUUAAUUAUUAGGCCGAACUCCCUGCUUUUAUUUCUUCUGAUCUAAACCUCUGUAUCCUCCUCAUGCUGCCGUCUUUACCAUCUCUUUGAGGUCGACAGCCUCUUCUCUUCGUCUCUGACGAACUAAUCUUACCCGAGAUCGACAGAUUCUUGCCGACCUGGCCUCCUUGAUCCGCCGAUCUCCUCGUCUUCGAGGUCAUAUGCCCACCUACUUACUCUAAAUCUGAGGUCUCCAACUCGUGCUGGCCUGCUUUUUUGCUUAGAGCCCGCCGACCUUCUUGCUUCAAUCCGGCGUCUUCGAGUUCAGCUUGACUCUGCCGACCUUGUUCUCCUCUUCUGAUCCAACAGUGAGUUUGAUUUUUUCCUUUAGUCUUAGCCGCCUCAGAAUUACCGAGCUGCUUCCUUGUUCUCUCUAUUGUCACUCACGCUGCUGUGUUGAAAUAAAGUUCGGCGAGCUGUUAUUUCUUCGAGUUUGCAAUGAGUUGUUUCUCCUUGGGGCUCAGGGUAUCCUCUUCCUUGCCGACCUGCAUUUGUCCUCCCUAAGGCAAACUUUUUGGAGUCCAUCUAGUUCGUCGUCCUCGUCUGGCUGUUCCUCGACGUCUGGCACGUCUUCAAAGGCUGAUCUUCGGUUGCAAACUUUCGAUGAAGCCGGCCCAUCUCAUCUUGUGGAUGAGAUCAGCUCAUCUUGUGGUCGCUUCUCCUGCCUCAUGAAGACGCCAACCUUGCUCAGGACUGCACAGGGAAGCUGAUCCCGGUGAAUUAGAUCAGAAUUUUCACAAAGAGACGGAGCAGAUCAGUGAAAUCGUCCACGAGAGUCGUAGCGUUUCCUCUGAACCCGAAGUAGCGGCAGGUGGUGAUCCUAGGCCUGAGGUCGUUAUUGCCAUUCUUGCGGCUCGUCAUGAGAUUGUUUGCCUGGUUUCUGUCAAAGCUUCUCGUUUAAAGGCUAAGACAAUCAGGUCGGCACUGGGAGAAGCCAAUGUUCCUUGUAGUAUUAAGGCGAUGAAACCUAAACCCUCAGAUAGACCCUGGGACGCUCCAGAAGGCUACAUCUGUGUCUACGAAGAUUUUUUCGGCAUUGUGGUCUGUUUUCCCAAUUGGGUACUGCAAUCGUCGUAGGGUUGCUAUAUCUCAUAUGAUGCCCUCGGUAACAUACAAAUAAUUAUACAUUCUAAAUAAUUAUAUAGUUAAAAUGAUUUGGGCUUCAUAUCCUUUGGAGUUUCUACAUGAAUUGUCAAACAUUUAUAUAGGAAUUAGAAAAUGUUACAUAAUAGGACAUCAAAUUUUGCCGUAUAUAUUGAUGGGCCCGAGCUGAAGUUCUUUGCAAAGAGUGGAGUCUGUAAUUAUGUAUGCAGGAGAUAUAAUAUAUUGUAUGUUAAGCCAUUAACCUCUAAUGUAUUGGUGAUUAUAUAAAAGUAGUUAUAUGCAGUCUUAAGCACCAACCUUGGCCUCUCAAAUAUUUAGAAAGAGUUUUCUCUCUCCUCCUUUUCUCUCUCGAGUGAUAACAGAUCUGAAACUUUUUUCUCUUGUCGACAACUUGAAUCCCUCCUAUCUCCCUCUCCGGCGUGUGUGGUGGUCCACCGUCGCCGGAGGAGGGACCCUGGUAAACUCCUCUUUCGUUUCUUAGGUGUAUUUUUUCAUUUUGAUUGUCAGCUCGGUGUGGCGUCAAAGUCAAGCUUCUCCAAUAUGUGGUCUUCGUUCGACAGCGACGGAGCUUCAGUGGCGUCGCUGAGGUUGUGGUGGUGGAAGGCGGUCUCCUUAUGGCGAUGCACCUCUUUGCCGUUCGCCUCAUUCUUUCUUGGUGGGUUUUGCUUUCUUUGGUGUUCACUUUCGUUUCCCUCCGACGGUCUCUUUCGGCUUUUCUUUGAGAGUCUUCGUCGUCAGCGGCGUGCUCUCCGAUUUUCCUCAGUGGUGUAGCUUAUCUUUCCCCUGUUAAAUUCCAUCUCCACCUUGUUUUGUUCAUAGAGGUGUUCCCGAGGCAGGGGUGGUGGCGAUGUAGGCUUUGAUCUCUCCGGCUCUGGCGGCAGCGAUUCAGACCUAGAGGACGGGUUCAGUCUCUGGUUAUGGUGUCGCGGGAGAUGUUUUUGCUUGUGGCUAGCCUCCGAGUGGUGGCUCUCAUUUCUUCCGGCGUGUGUGGCUCCACCACCAGUGUCUCUCGUUGGUGGCUCUAGGCGGGUGACUCAGCGGCAGUUUCUCUUGGUUUGUUCUUUGAAGAAGUUCCGGUGCUGUUUUUUCACAGUUGUGGCUCGAGUUUCGCUAUGGGUGUGUGUUUGUGUUUUCAGUAAUUUUCAGCAGUUUUGCAGUUUGGUCUUGGUCUUGGCUCGUGAGGGCUCCAAUUGUGGUUCGGUGCAGUUAAUGAAGCCUUUCGAGAUGUGUAUUGUAGAAGCGCCGGUCUGUUAUCCGGUUAGAUUGUAACUGUGGAGGUUGGUCCCUAUGGAGGCUUUGGUUUCUAUGGGAAUGGUUGUUGAAAGUGACUUCUCUGAUUGCCACUCAGACUUCCUUGUCACCGGUUGCAAUUCAGUCCGUUACGCAUUCCAGAGAUUACGUCAGUUUUCGAAGAAGCUGUAGGUAUCUUUUUCCGGCGGUUAGAGGACGGGUCUCGGAAGGAUGCUCGCAGCAACUAUGAUGUGAACUCCAGUUCUUUGAACUGCGGCAAAAACAUGAUGGUCUGUGCUUUGGCCCGUCAUUGCUGUUUUCUCACCUUGUUUGAUUUUGGUUUUAAUUUCUUUGUCUGGCUUGCCGGUUCUUUAGCUCUUUACUAUUUCUGUUGUUUCUUUGUUGUUUUUGUAUGUUAAUAGAUUUUGGAGUUUAAAUGAUUUUUCCCCAAAGUUAUAAUUUUUUUUUUUGUCAAAAACAUAAAUACUUAAAACGGAUUGAAAAUCCAAAACGAGGAAAUUACAAUUUUCAGUGGGCGCAAGGUUUUUUUUUUACUGUUUUUGCUUUAGGCCAGAAAUACCAUCAAGCCAGCCAACUUUGUGAGGUGUUUGACAAAACUACAGAUGUAAUUCUUUGUGACUAAGGUACCCCUUCAUGAGAUUUAAUUAGAACUUGGGCUCAGUCAUGUGAUGGUUGAAGCUGCCUUCUUUAACUAACUUUGCUUUAUUGUCUGUGUUCUAACAGCAAAGUGGGGAGAGAGAGAGAGAGAGAGAGAGAGAGAGAGAGAGAGAGAGAGAGAGAGAGAGAGAGAGAGAGAGAGAGAGAGGGAGAGACUCUAAGGUAUUUACAAAUUUAAAGAUUACCGUAGAGGUACUGUAAUAACCCGUUCAAGAGAUCAGAAAGCGGUUAAUAAAAAAUUUUAGAAAAGCAAGGAAGCAGGUAAGGUUAAUGGUCAAGAGCUAUAGGUUUUAGCUAUAGAAGUUAAGUUUUUGUCUAUGGAAGUCAAGUAUUUAGUCGAGCGGGUGGAUCGGUGGGUCGUUUCGGUUCGAUCGGAAGGUCAGAAAUGGAUUGGUCAGGAGAAGCUGCUCGAUAACUCAGCAGCUUGACUCAGAUGCUUGACUCAGCAGCCUGCUUGCCUGCUUGAGCAGCUUAGAAACACACCAGGCACGCGCCGGGAAACGUUCUGCACGCAUCGGAACACGCUUUUCAUGCGCUGGGAAACGCUCUGCACGCGCCGGGACACGCUUUUCACGCGCUGGCACACGCCAAGCACGACACAGCAGCUUCAUGUUCUGCUUCACAUGCUUAUGCCUUCACACGCAAGCACAACACAGCUGCUCGAGAAUCUUUUCUGUAAGCACAACACAGCUGCUCGGGAAUCUUUUUAGAUUCUCCAACUUAUCCCUAUAAAUAGAAGCUUUAGGAUUUAGUUUUCAGUAUAGAAAACAGCAAUGAAGCUCUGCUAUAAAAGUUCCGGCGACCGUGACCGCCGUCGACCACCACGAACCACCACGCGAGUCGUAGUCGGGUAGCUAGUCGGGUUCAGUCAGGUAGAUCAUUUUAGUUCGAAGUCACAUGUCUAACCUAGUUUUUUGUUCUGAAUCCAAAUAUGACCUCUGUUUGGCCCGGUUCUGGUCGGAUCUCUAUAAAAAUUAAGUUGUGUACGUGACAGAGAGAUUAUCCUAAACCAUAAGAAACCGUUAUUGUCUUGAAAGGCCAAGGUGAGUCUCGGUGUGGGUUGUUUGUUGCUUGAAUGCAAAGCAAGUAGAGAUAUAUAUAUAUAUAUAUAUAUGUAUAUUGCGUGUUGCAUUGCGAUAUGAAUCCACGGCAUGUGCACUAGCACAUAUUUUGGUGUCGUGUGGAUGAGAGACGUGAGUUUUGAUGCCAUGUGACGCUUCCCUCAGCCAUGUGAUGUGAUGAGAUAUCCGGGCUUGCGAGACGAAUAUGAGAAUGUUGUGAAAUUCCAGGUCGAUGAGUGAUGCAUGAGAGAUGACAGUCGCGACCUUUGGCCUGUGUGGCAGGGGUCCAAUUUGUGCAAAAUGUGAGAUUUUUCUUUGUGCGGGAUCCGGUCAAUGGCAUCUGAGAGAUGUGACGUUUGGGUGUAUAUUGGGUGUAUGCAUGUAUAAUAAAUAAAUAUUAUCAUGCAUCUGAUGUGAGAUUAUUAUUGUUGUUGCGUGAUGCGUGUUGUGUGAAAUUAUUGGGGUUUAUGGGGUUGCUUGAACCGUUAGGGGGAAAAGAACUCACUGAGCAAUUAGUUGCUCAUGACUCUACUUGUUUUGCAGGUAACCCUAGCGAGUAGCCUUUGGAGGAGGAGCUGUAGGUCAGCCGGUGUAGAUUUUGUCUUUUGCAAGUAAUAAGUAGGUUUUCUCGAUAUUUUUGAUGUAAAUGUUUUCAGGCCCACGUAUAUAUCGGAUUUUGUUGUAACGGAUGCAACACAAAUAUAUACUAUGUAUGUUUUAUAAAAGCUCAGGCUUUCGAAUGAUACUAGUCUUUGUUCGAGACGAACCAACUAUCGGACACGUCUCAGGUUGAAAAGCUGGGAGACGCGUUCGGUAGGAACAGCGUGUGCAGACGGCGACCUUGGGCUCUUGGACGUGCAUGUUCUUGUUUUAUUGGAGCACGGCUAAGAACCACGGGCCAUCAGUCUGUGCGUGCAACAGUAACACCAUCGAUCUGGUUGGGUUCGAACGGUCGGCCGUGCAUGUUCUUGUUUGAUUGUUGUGCGGUCAGUCACUGCACUCGGAUCUAGACCGAGUCGGGGGUGUUACAAAGGUCGUAUCAGAGCAUGGUUUCCAUGUUCACUCGGGACCCGUUUUCAAAUGUUUUAUCGAGUUAAUGAGUCGCAAAAGACACUUAGGAAACCGGAUAGCUUCUGCAUUUAGGAAUAUAGAAUAUGAUUCAACUUUGUUCCU